rnacentral:rRNA from 1 species
UACGAAGGGGGCUAGCGUUGCUCGGAAUCACUGGGCGUAAAGGGUGCGUAGGCGGGUCUUUUAAGUCAGGGGUGAAAUCCUGGAGCUCAACUCCAGAACUGCCUUUGAUACUGGCGAUCUUGAGUCCGGGAGAGGUGAGUGGAACUGCGAGUGUAGAGGUGAAAUUCGUAGAUAUUCGCAAGAACACCAGUGGCGAAGGCGGCUCACUGGCCCGGUACUGACGCUGAGGUGCGAAAGCGUGGGGAGCAAACAGGG